GCCUGGGUGGCUCAGUCGGUUAAGCGUCCGACUUCAGCUCGGGUCAUGAUCUCACGGUCCGUGGGUUCGAGCCCCGCAUCAGGCU
rnacentral:tRNA from 1 species